rnacentral:rRNA from 1 species
CCCUUAGACGUUCUGGGCCGCACGCGCGCUACACUGACCAGUGCAACAAGCAUCCGUCCUUGGCCGACAGGCCCGGGCAAUCUUUGAACGCUGGUCGUGAUGGGGAUAGACUUUUGCAAUUUUUGGUCUUCAACGAGGAAUUCCUAGUAAACGCAAGUCAUCAACUUGCAUUGAUCACGUCCCUGCCCUUUGUACACACCGCCCGUCGCACCUACCGAUUGAAUGGUCCGGUGAAGCCUCCGGAUUGGCGCGCACCUCGGUGCCGCCGAGAAGUUGGCUAAACCUUACCAUUUAGAGGAAGGUGAAGUCGUANCA